rnacentral:snoRNA from 1 species
ACUGCCCCUUGAGGCGUUGCUGUCCGACUAAGUGUCAGGAGGGGUGUAGCGUGCUGGGGCUGUCUACGCCGAGGACCCAGAACAGUGGGUACUUGGCGUGAUUGAUGGCUCUGACA